AAGGAUUUAGUAAUUUGUCCUCAGACCACAAAGAGAUGGUUUUACAUCCCUAACUAGCUGCAUAGAAAGCUGGGAGCUGAACCAGCAUGCCAUACUGCCACCUACCUACAGCAGCGCUGACAGUUCUUCAGCUCAGCCCGCAAACCAGCCAGCAUCUGCCCUGUGCCCGGCAAUGAGCCCGCUCCAGCUGGGAAUGCCCAGGUCCUGGUCUAACUGAGAAGCUUGUAGCAGGGGAACUUUGAACCUGGCUGCCUGGAAACUUGGAAGCAACCCAGAUGUCUUCAGUAGGUGAAUGGAUAAAUAAACUGUGGUGCAUCCCAAUAUUGGAAUAUGAUUCAGCACUAAAAAGAAAUGAGCUAUCAAGCCAUGAAAAGAUAUGGAGGAAAUUUAAAUGCACAUUAUUUAAGUUAAGGAAGACAAUCUGAAAAGGCUACACCCUGUAUGAGUCCAACUCUAUGACACCCUGGAAAAGGCAAAACUACGGAGACAAUAAAAAGAUCAGGGGUUGCCAAGGGUUGGAUGUUGGGGAGGGAUGAAUAGAUAGAACAUAGAGGAUUCUUCAGACAGUGAAACUACUCUGUCUGAUACUAUAAUGGUGGAUACACAGUAUUAUACAAUCAUCCAAACCCGUAGAAUGUACAACACCAAGACUGAACCUCCAACUCCUGGGCUCAAGUGAUCCUCUGCCUCAGCCUCCCGAGUAGCUGAAACUAUUGGUGCACACGACCACAUCUGGCCAAUUUUUAAAAAAUUACUAUAGAGGCAGGAUCUCACUAUGUUGCCCAGGAUAGUCUCAAACUCCUGGCCUCAAGCCAUCCUCCUGCCUCAACCUUCAAAAGUGCUGGGAUUGCCACCACCCAGGCUCGCCCCUGGUCCUUAGUUGGCAAUAAAGUAUCACUCUUGGCUCAUCAGUUGCAACAUCAGCAUAUCACAGUAAUGCAAGAGGUUUACAGUGCAGGACAUAGGGACUUGGUGAGGGGACAUGAGAAUCCUCUGCACAUUCUGUUCAAUUUGUCUCAAAAUAAAAUAUAUUCAUUAAAAUAAAACUACUAAUUUCUUAUCAACUCAUCUCAUAAAAUGGACUGAUGGGAGACUAAGUCAGUAUCCUAUUAGCAGACACAACCAGAAAUUAAGAGUGGUCCCAUGUCAAAGAGGUUUGCCCAAGCAUUGCAGAUACAGGACUGAACAGACUGCCAUCCUGGCCGUCUCGAAUGUCAAUGUUAGUAAUAGUUAUUUUAUUAUGAUGUUGAACUCAUCAUUUAUAAUGCCAUAUUUGUUGCUUCAGUUAUCACAUUUAACCUGUCACAAGCUUAAAAAUACAUAUUCUUUAAAAAGAUAGUUUGUGGAUCAAGAACUCCCAGUUAAGCCUACUAGAUGAGCUGUGUGUGUUUGUUGCUCUCCCUUCAAAAAAACUGCUAAAAUAAUAAUUGAAAAGAUACAAACCCACUUGUCGAAGGGAGAAGAGACCAACGGCAGACAUAAGAUUCCAGACGAUUUUUGGAGAGUGGAAAGAGCACGCAGUUGACUUAGAAAAGCAUCCCGGGCCGGGCAUGGUGGCUCACGCCAGUAAUCCCAGCACUUUGGGAGGCCAAGGCAGGAGGACUGCUUGAGGUCAGGAGUUCGAAACCAGCCUGGCCAACAUGGCAAAACCCCAUCUCUACUAAAAAUACAAAAAAAAAAAAAAAAUUAGCUGGGCAUGGUGGCAGGUGGCAGGUGCCUAUAAUCCCAGCUACUCGGGAGGCUGAGGCAGGAGAAUUGCUUGAGCCUGGGAGGUGGACGUUGCAGUGAGCCGAGGUCGUGCCACUGCACUCCAGCCUGGGUGACAGAGUGCGACUCCAUCUCUAAAAAAGAA
ensembl:lncRNA novel transcript, antisense C18orf1